AUAAAUAAAAGUUGGUUUUGGAUGUGUGUAGGUAGGCUAUGGUCUCAUGUCCCUUUAAGACGCUGUCCUACGUCAGAGACGAGACUCCGCCCCAUCCAGUCUGUAACAAAGAGGGAAAGACAGGUGAGGAGAUGGAGGACGGAGAGAAAGUUGGAGCGGCUGAAGUAGACGAAGUUAAUGUGGGAGGGGGUGAGCAGGUUGUGGAGUAGUUGUCGUCCAUUUAUAGUUAUAGAGGUGAACUGAUCAAUAUAUCAUUAUAUUGAUUUGAGGUCAUAUCGCCCAGCCAUAUCCAGGACUUCUGGUAGCAACUCAAGAAAAAUCUGACUUUUUAUCCUGUUAAAUCAGGUCAAAUUUUAAUGUGUUAAUCAGUUUCUGAACCAAAAUCAACAGUGAGUGUUAGCUGCGGUUAUUUAAGCGCAUGUUUGUAAGCUAGUAUGCAAAAAUAAGAUGUUGAACACAUUAAAUUAAGUGAACUCUGCAGUCACUGGAUUAGUUUUAUUGCUGUGUGUGCUCCAUCAGGUUUUGACGACAGAGUAUUAAGGCCACAUUAGGGAAAAAAAUAAAAGAUUUCUGGAAUAAAGUUGUUAAUUCACGAGAAUAAAGUCAGAAUUAAGUCCUUAUAUUCUAGCCUGUUGUUUAAGAUGACAGUUGUUGAAAUUAGAGCCGUGGUGCAUUUUGUAAAAAUGUACUUCAAUAUAUGUUUCUUAAACAAGGAGAUACUUAAUCUUUUGGCAGAUCAGCAGCAUAUUAUCAUAAGUAUCAUAAUGAUUUUAUUACGACUUUAUUCUCGUAAUAUAAUUACUUUAUCACGACUUGUUAGUAGUCUAGUUAGUAAUGACUUUAUUCUCAUAAAUUAACGACUUUAAUCUCAAAGUCUUUUUUUUUGUUAAUGUGGCCCUAAUACUCCGUUGUAGGUUUUUACCCUAAUCUUGGGUAUUUUAAAGAAAUAAAAACAUACAUUUACUUGAUGAACCUGAUGGAUACACGAGCUCCACAGCAGCCGAGGUUUUAAGACCGAUUCAUUACAGAGCAAACUAAUUUAGCAGAGAACAGUUACGUAAGUUUUCCUUCCCUCGAACAAACGGUUCCUCCGCCAGUUUCCCAGGAUGACAAUAGAGGAUGUGGGUGAGGAUUUCAUUCCGAUCAUUCCUGCCUGGAGUGGGAGUGGAUCCACCUCGAGUGUUUGAAUCGACCUGUCGGGACUCAGGAUUGUUAUCGCUCAUUAUCUCUUAUGAAACAGCAGAUCUGGCAGCUUUGCAGCAAAGUGAAUCAUAAAUCAUUACUGACAGAAAAACGCCGUUCUGUAUCUGUUACCCCUGAUUACCACAGGUCAGGGAUUCAAUAAUGUACCCACAGGUGAGACGGGUCGUGUAAGAGUUAAUGAUGAAGCUGAACAACAGUGAAAAUCAGAGUCCAGCCCAGCCUGUGUGUUCAGAGUGUUUCCUCAGAACAUUUAAUGAGAAGCUCUGCUGCAGCGAACUCAGAGGAAGCAAAUCUCAGCCUUUCUCGCCAGUAACCAUCAUAAUCCCUGAAACCGAGCGUUCCCUCAGUGUUUGGGUCUGUGGGCUGUCAGUAGUGGUCAGGACCAAAGCUCUCUGGUGAAACACAUUCAUGCCCAGCAUGCAUUGCAGUGGCGAGGGCGUUUAUGAAGCGAGCCUUCCUCUCUCAUUUACAUUCAGUUCAAUCAAAAGGGGUUUUUGGCGUGAGGGUUUUAGGAGCAACAUUUCCAAAACAUCAAAACGCAAUUUGUAGAAAUAUUUUGGCGAGCGAAAUAACAGAGUAAUGAGCAUUAACACGAUAUUAAGACGACGGAGAUUUAUCACCUAUAUGUGUUUACAGUGUUUGUGUGUGUGUGUGUGUGUGUGUGUGUGUGCAGCUCCAACCACUGACUGGUGAUUUAUUUGUUAUUGUAGCGUUAUUGUUUAUUUAAGGGUAAAAAUGACCAUAAUUGGUAUAGUGGGCGGAGCUAAAGCGUGCUCAAAUAAAUGGAUUCGAUUCAGCACCAAACCCUUAAUUUAAAUUGUUAGCUUAAUUAUAAACAUGUUUAUUUUUCCUGCAAAGUUGAGCUUUUUAACAUGGAACGUAAGGAGAGUUUCUUGGCCUUUGGAGUCUGCCCCAAGUGGACACUCCAGGAACUGCAGCAGCGUUUGUCCCUUCCUCUCAGGCUUCUCCCUCAGCAUCUUUUCCUGUUUCCUCCCCCCUCCAUAAUACCUCCCUGACAGCCGCAGCACACGGCCUCUCCUCCCCACUUUGAAACCCAACACUGGCACCAGGAGUCACCUUCCAGGCAUGGCUCGGAUGCCCACCACCGUCCCUGUGCCCUGCAGUCACAAGACUCAGGUGGGACAGGGGGUCAGGGUGGAGGGCUGGACUCCCCUCUUGUGAUGCUUACAUAACUCCAGAUCCUGUUGGCGGACACUAAAUGUGGCAAACAGCUCAAGGCGCACGAUCAAAGCAGCUCUCCAUCUGUUUGAUCAGCGCCGGGGCCCGGAUUGUUAGAUGAGCUCCAGCGUGACCCCCCAUAAACCUGUGUGACCUCCUCUUCGCAUGCUGCUCCCACUCAGAGGAUUGAGUUUCAGCAGAGCCGGGCCGUGUGUUCCCGUCAUACACACAGGGACGAAUAAGAGAAGCCGGGGUGAGAGAGGAGCAGGAAUGGCUGCGAUGAAACAGAGAGGGCGUCUGGAAAAGUAGACGAGUUACAAAAAGUCAUAAAUAAAGGGAUGAGGUGGCCGCUGAGACAGAAGAGAAGCUGAUUGGUUGGUGCUUUUCAUGGCGGUUCAUGCUUCAGAUGAGAAGAUUGAUGGUCAUUGGGGCGUGUGACGGUACACGAGUGUUUGUGGGUGGGCAGAGCAUGCUGACGUUGCAAGAAGACGUAAACCAUGCAGAACCUGAGCUCUGUCCAGACCACCUGCACGGCCUUCAAACUGUCAGAGUGGAGGCGCCUAACAGAGUCAUACUACCUCCGAUGGUCAUGUGAUCAACACCCUCUCUAUCUUCAUCACCAUUUGGGUCAUACUGACGGAGUUUUAGGUGUAACUUUUACAACAGUCGCUGACACGGGAAUCAAGUCGUUCAAGGUGAACUGUCACGCCGAAAUUCCACAGGAUACAGAACGGCUCUGCUCCGGUCCAAAGCGGCAGCCUGAUCAAAAUGAUGCGUGAUUCCACACAAUCCAUCCGCCGCCCGGCUCCGCUGCGGAUCAGCUCCAGAUACGCAAGGCUUCUAUUUUUGCCAGACGCUGCAGCACAACGCAUCGAUUCAGUGCAGCGCAGCACGAGCGGCAGCAGAAGUUGUAUGCGGCUACAGAGUAAAAUAUCCGAUUAAUUUUCAAAAUAAAAUAAAGUCGAUACGUUGAACUGUUCUUCAAGUGAUAAUGGGAAGGGCCAGGGUUGUGGGAUUUGAGUGUUUUUAUCUCAUUCAAUGUCUCACAGUGAAACACAACAUCUUGUGAGAUCUCGUCCAGUCUCGCGAAAAAUAUCGGUAAAAUCAUAAGUGCUUCUCCUCUCCUCUAGCGGAUCUGCAUGCGGUGGAAUCCCUGUGUCAGACAGUCCAAGCCCAUUUCCAGAGGAAACAUUUUCAAGUAUGCUCCUAAAAAAGUUUGAACAAAUUCUGCUAAAUUUUCACAGUCCGAUCAAACUCCAGAAUCAGAUAUUUAAAAUCCGACGGUAACUCAAUCUUCACUCAGUAGUCUCUGUAAAUCCUUCCAUGCAUGCCACUCAAACCUGCAGCUCCGUGAUUCAGCUUCCAGUAAAGGUGACACACACCAUCAAAACAUCAGCGUUCACCCACUCACUCAGUCGUUUCCUUGCAGCCGGUGGCCCCUGAUGUAAGCGUACACACAUGAGAUUCCUGUAGGUAACUCAACGCUGUGGGCAGCCAUGCAGGAGCCGCCGUGAACCCGCAGCCAGUUCUAAAAAGAGAGCGCUCCCUCUCUGAUUGUCCCCAUCAGCUCUCACUUAUACCCACCGAUUAUCCCGCUCUGAUCACAAAGUGACGAAUGACUGCUGUGAACGUUAUUGUGUUUGUGCUGUUUUUCCUAUUUAACGGUCAUUACGCUGUCUUCGUGACUUUUUAGCCUUUAGCAUCGUGGAAAACCCCGAAAAGGAGACGCUCAUCCUGAAGAGCAGAGUUUAAGGAACUUAGUUUGACAGCUGUGGCUGAAUUUGACCUCAGGCUGCGUAUUAAGUGCACAGUUAUGAAAUUAGAGAGAAUUUCUGUCUUUCAUUUAAAGGGCAGAGGGUUAGAUCUAACCUGUAACAAGAAUUAAGAUUUUAAGAUUAAUCCAGUCGAUUCUGCAGAGCGACUUUGUAAUUUUAUGUGAAUAAAGUCGUAGAUUUACAGGCUAUAAGUUAAAGGAGAAAAGAAAUCACUCAUUACUGCAAUGAGGAGGAUUAGAAAAUCAGCCACUGCUUUAACUAAAUAAGGAACAUGGAGUUUGUAGUGAAGUUAAACCUUCAUAUAAAACUGUAUUUUCACUUCAACAUCAUAAAAACCAGUUUCUGAAUCUAUUUUGUAAAAAAACUGAGACCGCUAUGAAGAAGGAGAGGUGAACAUGCAGCCUUCCUUCCUACUUUAGUGAAGGCAGUGGUCAGCUUCACUUUCAUUAUCACUCUUUCUAAUGUUUUGGUCUUUUUGAAUUAGCUUUAGCCUUAAGACUUCUGUCUAAAAUAAAAAAUCCUUUUUUGCAGAAAUUCAAAAAUUCGACUUUAAUCUACAAAAUGUUUUUCUUUAAUUGAGGAAAACUAACUUUAUUCUUGUAAAGUUUCAAUCUUAUUCUUAAAAUAUUAAUCUGCAUGCACAUUGUAAAAUUAAAGUGUGGAUUAAACAUAAUUUUUUUCAUACUAAAGCUCCUAUGAGGAAUUUUUAGUUUGUGUCAAUUCUGGCGCCCCCUGUGGACACAGCCAUCUUCGUUUAUUUUGUUUUGUAUUUGCUUAAAUAGUGACUUUAUGAUGAAUAAAUCUCAUUCUGCUCUCUUCAGUCAAACAUAUCAUCUAUUGUAGGGGUGUCCCGAUACAACUUUUAUAUUUUAAGUUUUUCACUCAGUUGCAAUGUCUUUUUUGGACUAAAUUACCGCCACAUGGCCGACAUCACUCUUACUCCUCUCUACUGAUAUCUGAGUGCUGAUAUCAGAGAUUUUAGAUGCAGGCCGAUAUAAUCCAUAUUUGUUUUUUUUUUUGCUGAUAUUGGACCGAUAUCCGAUAUCAAUAUAGUAUUGGGACACCCCUAAUUUAUUGUAAAUUUUUUAAAUGUUUUUUGUUUAUGUUUUAUUCUUUGAUGGAAAAUAACCUGCUCUUUAGCUGCUAUAUCCUCUUUAAUUUUUCAUCAUGUAGGUUUUUAUUUAGCUGGUCUGCAAUAUAAAGAGAGGAAAGGUAUUGGCUUGUUAUGGCUUUAAAGCUGAAAAUAAGACACUACUGCAUCUGAUCUGUGUGAUGAAGUUUCCCAGAGGAGGGAUGAAACUGUCCGAUAGUUUAUCCUGGUUUCUCACACCUUAAAGGUAAAAUACUGAAGCUCUCACUGCUGAUUUUCCUCUAAAUUUUUCCUUCGUUUGAACUCUAAAUGCAGAAAUGAAAUAAGGACAUGACUUUUUUUCACUUCAUCUGUUGUCUUUGGUUAAACAGAAUUGAACACAGAUAUCCAUACAGUGCAGACUCCUCCCUGAGAGCUCCCAGAGUUCCAUAUAAGGAAAACCUAAAGCAGAGGUACCGAUGUGUGGUUCAAGGGAUGUGAAAUAAAGAAACCAAAAACACGUUUAUCCGUCUAGACACAGAGGAAAAGAAAGAGAGAGAGAGAGAGAGAGAGAGAUGGGCUGCCGAUGAAGAGACAGAGAGGCCUGCCGCUCUGUCUGCUGUCCCGUGUGGAUAAAGUGUCGAGGUGUUGAGACGGCCCAUUGAGCCAGAAUGUCAGCCGUACACGGCAGAUAGGACGGAGCAGCGAUCUGUCCACAGCUUACAGCCACUGCUGCGCUCCCCACCACCUCUCAAAGACCGCUGACACUUCAGGGCCAGUGGAAACCUUCACCACACACACACACACACACACUACAGCAUGCAAACACAAGAGGAAGACAGCAGCCAAGUACAUACAUGUCAGAAACUUUUUUUCUGGACAGUUUGAGCCGGAGCCCACUCUGCCCAUAUUCUAAGACACAAACUCCAUCGCCAUUGUGAGGCUUUCAAAGGCGUCUGUUUCUCUCAAAUGCCACGUCCUUAACAGAAAAUGCAUGGAGAGCCUUCACAAGGCCAACAUUGUUCCUCGGGCCAGUUAAAAUGCACAUGGAGAGACAUUGUUGGAGGGAGAAAAGCGCACUGAAGCAUUGUGGGUGAGAAAUCAGGCUGCUGGCAGAUAUGAUCUUUGGAUGUGGGUGAAGAAAAAUCCCCCCUAUUAUUUAUAAGGCAUCGGUCUCAAUUACAGUACCACAGUGGUAGUUUGAUUUUUGCACUUUUAAUAUUUGGAUUCGACUAAAAACCUCAAUAAAAAGCAUUAGGGAUGUAAAAACCUCAACGCUAGAGGAUGCACUUCAACAGGAGAUCUAAAUCUGUGAUGAUAGAAGCUCACAGUGUGACUUUCACUGUCAUAUUACUCAACAGAGUUGUGCAAGAAGCUAAGAGUGGAGAGGAAACAAUGCAAAGCCAGAUAACAUCAGUCUGUUGAACAUUAACUCCUCACAAAUCUGCACCAUACUUUCAAGCAGUGAAUGGCUCUUUAUAGCCAGUCUUUAAUCUCCCGUCUCCAGCUUGUACAGAACGCUGCUGCACGAUUUUUAACGGGCACGUCUAGGCGUGAACACAUCACCCCUGUGCUGUCUUCGCUACACUGGCUUCCAGUUUGUUUUAGAAUUGACUUUAAACUUUUAUUAUUUACUUUUUAUGCCAUAAAUGGCCUGGCCCCCUCCUACCUGUCAGAGAUUUUAACUGUUCGCGAUCAUGGCAGGGCCCUCCGUUCCUCCGGUCAGCGCCUGUUGGAGGUCCCGAGGUCAAAACUCAAACAGUGGGGUGAUCGUUCUUUUGCUGUUGCAGCUCCUAGGCUGUGGAACAGACUGCCGCUAGAUGUACGCACCACCACUGACCUCAGUUUAUUUAAAUCAAAGUUAAAGACGCACCUUUUUAGACUUGCUUUUAACUCUGACUAGGUAGUCCUGUACUUAUAGGUUUUUAGCACUUCUACAUACUAUUUUAUUGUAUUAUUUUAUUUUCAUAUUCAUUUUUAUUACUUCAUCGUUCUUGUAUUAUUCUAUUCUAUUGUAUUAUUUUAUAAUGGUAUUUUUUCUUGUGUUAUUUUAUUGCUUUUAUGUAAAGCACUUUGGGUACCAUUUGGGAUAUUGUAAAGUGCUAUAUAAAUAAAAUUUGAUUGAUUUGAUUGAUUGAUAUAGUUGCGUGCACGAUGAUAAAGAUCAUAUAUAGAAGGUGCCUGCAGAGCUACAGCAUCCAGCCUGCCAAAUGGAAAAGCUGCUCUACAGGUCUAAUGAGCGCAGGAACAGAAAUGUGUUUGACACGCUCUGUUGAUGACUGAGCCCCCGCUAAUUAAAAACCACCACAGUGAAGCAGGAUCCAGCCAAAACAGCCUCCAGACCCAAACCGCCUCAUGGAGACAAACAUGGCCGCCUUCAGGAGUUUAAAAGAAGCAGUCGGACCACAGCGCCCCUGUGUACCGGUUUGUUAUUCUCCUCAAAAGGUUAAUUACAGAGGGGCUUGAAAAACACUGGACAUCUGCAAGGAAUUUGAAAGUUGGGGUCUGAAAUUCCUGUCAGGCCGAACAAAAAAUAAACAGACCGAUCAAUCGAUGACACCUUGGCAUCGAAAAGCGAAGCUGGCAGCCGUCUCUCCCGUUUUAUUUGUUGAUGGGGGGUAAUGGCGAGUUAAUGUCUCACUCAGAGGAAGAUCAUGUUUACUGGUUUAUUCGAGGCGACAGGGACGUCUGAUCUGUGCCAUUAAACCUGUGGCUGAUGGCCAAACUCCUCUGUAAGUAAACGUAGCUCAUGGUACAGAGAGGUGAUAACAGUUCACUCCCUGCUGCUGACGGUGCUGCACUAAGACCCUCUGACAUGUCAGCAGAGCUCACCUCCCGUCCAGCGAACGGCAGAGCAAACACAGGAACCACUUCAAAGCGGCGGCGCCGGACCACAGCGCCCCUGUGUACCGGUUUGUUAUUCUCCUCAAAAGGUUAAUUACAGAGGGGCUUCAAAGCGUCGGCUGGACAUCUGCAAGGAAUUUGAAAGUUGGGGUCUGAAAUUCCUGUCAGGCCGAACAAAAAAUAAACAGACCGAUCAAUCAGUACGCCGUUAAAUCACUCCCUCCCAGCGCUGAGGUUGAUGGGGGGUAAUGGCGAGUUAAUGUCUCACUUAGAAAAUAGCUUUUGACCACGGGGGAGAGACUUGACACUUUCAUAAUCCAGUGUGCCGUGCGGUUCGUGUGAUGAGGUUAUGUGAGGGCAAUCACUGUUUAUAGAAGCGAGCGAAGGCGAAAAUCAAUGCAGCGAACAAACGCGCUGCUGGAAAAACGUGUUUAUCAUAAUGACGUGUCAGCCGCCGCAGGUUUCAGCGACGAUCGAUAGAGCAAAGGUUUGUUUGAGGAAGAUUACAGGGCAGAGGAUGAAGAGCGGUUUUCUCUGAAUGAUGAGGAGACAAAACAAGAAGAAAGAAAAAAAACAAGAAAAAAGGAGUCAAAGAGGAAUGUCUUUGCACCUCCAGCCCUCCACCAGGACGCCGUUUCCACCUCAGGUCGUGCCGUAACUCUGAAAGUGUCGACAGUCCAUUUCAAGGCCUGCUGGUGUCUGUCUGUGGCAGCUCUCAUUAGUGCUAUGAAUAGUCGGCUAUUUGUGUUUGUGCAACAGUAUCCUGGGCUCUUUAUGACUGUUUACCAUGGAGGGAAUCUGGCUAAGAGUCUUUUCCACUAUUGAGUGUCGCAAAUAAAGGAUAUCCAGCGUGAGAGUUGGGUCAAACAGCAGUUCAAGUGAGCGUUUGUUUUCUCCCCUCAGAGAGCCACAUGAGUGGAGUUUAUGAUAUCAGCACUUCUAAAAUAGUCUGCUCUGUCACAGGAGAGAAAAACACACUCAAACAUUAUUAUUAUUAUUAUCAUUAUUAUACCGCUAUAUGCUGGGAUAUAAAUAAAAAACAGUAAAUUUUAAGAGCUUAUAAACACCAUGACACAAAUUAUUGCUUGGAUUGAUCACGCUAUUUUCUUCAUUCUGCAACCAGGACAGUUAUCACAACUUCUAUUUAAAAUAGGGCUGGGCGAUAUGACCUUAAAUCAAUAUCACAAUAUAUUAAGCAGUUCACCUCGAUAAUGAUAAAUGGACGAUAACUAUACCACAAGCCGCCGCUCCAACUACUACAACUUUUGAACUGUCCUCCAUCUCCUCACCUGUCUUUCCCUCUUUGUUACCGACUGGAUGGGGUGGUCCCAAAAUGACGGCAAAAUGACAUCAAUUGUUGACGUAAAUUUUGGUGUUUAUCUCACUUUCUUUUUAUGACUUCAUACAUGCAUUUGCAGAUGUAGAGGCUCAAAGUAACACUAAUCAGUGAAACAGUCUUUACAUGUGGGAGAAAAUCUGUGUCAUUUCAGUGAGUGUUUUAACCGUAACUUUGACGGUAGCAGCGUUUACGUUCGACGGUCAUGUUGCACGAAAACAGAUGGUCCCUGCACGACUCUAUGUGUUUAAAUAAGCUGCAUUAAAGUGGUUUAAGAUCAGUGUUUAUUCUAAAUUAAUAUUUUUUUUAAGUGAGAUAAGACUAAGUGAGAUACUUCAAAACUUAUGACAAACUUAUGAGCAUUCCAUCGAUCUGACUUAAAGAAAGGAAGAUCUCCCAGAAGAAAGUAAGACUUGAUUAAACUAAACAAGUGGGCCAUGUUUGCUUCCAAUAAAUCGAGCAGAGGGGGAUGAAAGCGUCUGUUUUUAAAUGAUCAUGGUCCCAGAGAACGGGAAAAACAAUUAGUCUGUAAAUAAUAAAAAAAUUUGUCCAAAAAAUAAAUAAAUAAACAAAUAAAAAUGCUAAAAAAACAGAAAAAAACCCCAUCUAAAACGCAUAAAAGAAAAGAAACUCUGAAAAACAGAAAAGAAAAAAAAUGUCCAAAAAAAGCAACAACAAAAAAAAAAUCCUCCAAAAAAAAGAAAAAAAAAUUGUUGGAAAAAAAGAAAAAAAAAAAUCUGAAAAACUGAUCUUUUUUUGUUUACGGUGAUUGCAAUAUGCUUCCAUAUAAAAUAACCCUCAACAAUGAGAAAUAGGUGACUAUUUAUUCUGCUUAGCUCGAGUGUAUCUGUUGUUGGCUCUGUAUGAGGUUCAGGAGAUUGAGCUUCUUUUCUUUUAACGAAGUCUGACUCUUUUCUAAUCUUUUUAUACUGAUACAUCCAAUUAUCCAAAAUUUUUGUCACCCAGGUUGCCCCGCUCUGUGUGGUUACCUUUUACAAAUAAACUGGUGCUGUGGUAAGCUUAAAUAAACCAUACUCUGAAUGUAUGCUAAUACUGCUUUAACUCUUAAGUCUGUUUGCCACUCGACAGCUUUCCCAAACAUGCAAACCUCGUCUGUUUAUCCGAGUUCAGAGAGCUGAAAGAGGAGCGUUAACUCAGGACAGGACAGCUGUAACCCUCCAGCUGUAUUUGUUAAUAUAAAAGGAAGGGCAGGAGUUUCCCAUUGCUUCAACAGGUAAAUAAUGUUUAUGUGUGCGUGUGUCUGUGUGUGUGUGAGUGUAUAAGCUGGAUGUGGAGGCCUCGCCGAGCUGCAGUCAGCCUCACAUAGUUUUAAUGCUUCCUGCUCGUUGCUUUAUAUGUCUACAUUAAAUGGAACCACAUGUCAUCAACACACUUCUACACAUGUGCAGAGGAAACACAGACUUGAAAAAACUCCAGUCCCAUUAAGUUCAACACAUGCACUUGGGAAAUCGAUGAAUUAAUCAAUGGAAAGGCAGGCAUCACCGCAGCAGCAGCAGCAGCCGUUAAAGGCUCCUAAAAACUCUGCCGUCGUGGGGCUGAAAGCUCUCUCUGUGCCUGCAGGAUUUGACAGGCAGGAUCAUUUGCAGGAUUUACGUCAGAAGCGGAGUUUUUGCGCAAGCGGGGUGUGGUUCAGUGACAUGUGACAGGCUGGACAGUGCAGGUGUCACGUAUGUUUGGUGACUCACUGUCUGCAUCCUCCUCCACUCAGACACCCUAACCCUGCAGCUCAGGGGUGUGUGUGUGUGUGUGUGUGUGUGUGUGUGUGUGUGUGCUGAGGAGCGCCCACCAAAAACAUGAGACCUGCUCAGCCGCCACACUUCCUACAUGCCUGUGCUAGCAUGUUUAAGUCCACACACACCACCGCCAAUUUGUGCGCAGGAGGAAGCAAUAAUCCGACCAGAUCAUGACGUCUUAUAGUCGUUGUUGUGUUAUCGGACGUUAAUUUCAGCAUUAAAAACAUAGAAAAGGAGGUUCAUGAUUCACAGUAAAUGUUUUCAGUCCUACUUUAUGAAGUCUACUGGGUCACUUAAGUUAAAGAUAAAGAUAACUGUAAAAGGACAAUGUUAAUUUAAAUAUAUUUGUUUACCACCUGUGGGUUCCUCUUAUCUAUUUUCUUGUACAUGUGACAAAGUGUUGUGAGACAAGAACCUGAUCCUGUUAUCCUCUAACAAAGAAAUGCACCCCUUCUUUGCAUCGACUUAACAUGUAAUUCAUUCGUGCUUGGCGUGUGGAGACUGUAAGUGCUGUUCUUAACCACUUCAAAACUCCACAUGGUGCCUUUAAGUCAAAUAUUCAGCUGACAGAUUGUUUGACUGGAACGACAAACCUAAAUGGGACUUUCAAACUAAAUAUCUGUCAAUGACUCUUCAGUGGAGGAUCAUAACUCAUGGAGUUUCAGAGACGUCAGUGAUUGAUGGUGAAGGACUGAAGCUCGACUGACUGAGGAAUGGAGGAAACUGACCGAACUAUGAACGUGAACAUUUUCAUGAGUGUGAGCUGAACUUUGAGUUUUCAUGAGCUCACUCCCAGCAGUCAUGCUGGUCGGGUUAAUUGGUCACUCUUGAUCGCCCAUAGGUAGAAGAGUGAGUGUGUCUGGUUACCUAUUUACCCUGUGAUAGGCUGGCGACCACGACUCGCCCACUGACAGCUGAGAAAGGUUAUCACACUUUUAACUCCCAGAAAAAACUUGUAUCUAAAUUAUUUACUUGAACUCGCUGAAUUAAGAGUUUUUAUUAAACAAACUUUGCUGUGAGCAGCUGAAGGCAAAGAUAGUAAAAUAGUCUGAGCGCUCCUGUAUGCUAACAUACAGAGGAGCCCGAGGUCAGACAGGUUGUACUACAAGUGAAAAAAAAAGUCCUGCAGAGGAACAAAACAGUCUCUCUGCUGUCUGCUUGGCUUCUUAUCAAUUAUCGCUCUGUCAACUCAGUCCAGAUAAAUUAUGAGAUGCAGCUUCACUUCACUCAGCUGUACCCUAAGGAGGAGAUUUCACUAACUUGGCAGUGAAAGACUGAUGGUUUUAAAUAUAUCCAUCAGCAGCAUCGGCAGUAAAUCUUCAUCAUGUUUAUGGCCUCCGAGUGCAGAAGGAGCAGGGGGGCAAGAAUGUUUCCGCCAAAAAUCCGUCCCCUCACCAGUUUCCUGCUGCGUCUCUUUAACUGAGCGUGCCGACACGAAUGCAAAGAUCUUUCUGAAUAAACAAACCAAAAACAAAUUUAUAUGCAAACAGCUGUCAGCAGCUUUGAGAGGGAAACAUCUGAGUCAGGCAGAAGGAAAGCAGAAGGCUGAAGGUUGUAUUUAUGAAUCGUGUUGUUUUCCUCUUUGCAUCGUUCAGUUUUAACCUUCAUUUGUGGAUACAGACAUUGAACUGUGAUGUGGUUUUAUACGCGCUUUAAAGCCCAUGAAGUAAUUUCCACAACAAAGUAAUGCUUCUUUUUUAACGAGGGCACCAAGAUCACAGCCCUUUAGUUUGGCCUCUGUCUUGUUGCCUGUUGUGCUGAGAUUGUUUCAUAUAUAAACCGUGAACUAUAGAUGAUUAAAUUACUUACACAGUGUCUUAUAAUGUUCACAUGUUACUAUCAUGUCAAAACUUAAGUAAUGCAUGAACUUAAGGUUGAAAAAGGUGUCUCCAUCUUUUUAUGUACAUCCUGUUAGCUACAUGCUAAUGGGUUUGUCGAUUGUUUUGGUAACUCAGAGGUCCAGUUUUAACAAGCUAGAGAAGGACACGUCACCACCUGCGAUGGCAGAGGCAGACAUGCCUCAAUAAUCCGAGUCUUGUUGGUGCUUGUAAACUGGGACGAGGAUUAGUCCAGUUAAAUCCCCCUAAUGGAAUAAUAACCAUCGCUUUACUAAACUGUGAAUGUAAACAUACCGACCUUAGAGCCAGUGAGAGUGAAAUUCAUCCUUUUAACCACUAGAGGAGCUCAUGUGCAGAGCUGAGAUGCAGUUUCCACUUUUUGCAAACACUGUGCUAAACUAAGAGUGCCUUUAUAGAUGUCAAAAUCUUCUCACUCCUUUAAGACCCACUCUGAUACAAAUCCUGUUUUUCUUGUCGUCUACAUGUUCAUAUAUUCAUUUUUCUGAUGCUACAGGAGAUAUCAGGAGAAAAGUGAGAGCGAAAUUGCAUUUCUGAGUAUUCCUGCAUUCAAAUCGCUGUGAAUCUCCGGCAGACCCAAGCGGCAGGUUAAGAUACAGUGAGAUUUCUUACAUCACAAUUCCAAGCUCCGCCCCUGUGCAGGCCAGACCCUAAGAAGUAGAGGGGACACUUCAGACACUUUAGAUAGCUUAACCCCCUAAGACCCGAACUCUUGCAAGGCAUGCAUUUUUAUUUUCUCUUUGAUAUUUAGGCUUAUUGGGACCUGAUGAGUGUAAAAACAAAGAAUGAUCUUUUUACAUGAUGUAGUUUCUGAGAAAAAUGAUGUCCACAUAUGAGGACAUUUGUUUAAAAUUUUGAGAGAAGGCCCUUGUGAACAAAAUUUAAUAUUGUGGUCUUGACAACCAAAAAUGUGAUGUCCACACAUGUGGACGCCAGGUCUUAGGAGGUAAAAAAAAAAAAAAAAAAAAAAACAGAAUGGGACUUAAAUAACAUAAACAUUGAAAAUGUUGUAAAACUAUUAUGUUGUAGGGUUCUUGUAUUGUUUGUAACUGUUUGCCAAAGCACUUUGUAAACUUCUGUUUUUGAAAAUGCUAUAAAAAUAAAAGUAUUUUUAUUGAAAUACCACCAGAGUUUGACGCACUUUUGCUUCAAAUUUUGAUCCUGCUUGUGAAGUAAAACUUUCAAAAUCACUUAAAUUCAGAUAGUGAUAACUUGAAUCUGUUGACAUAUCCUCAUUAUUCCUAAUUCUUAUGUUUCUGGACUUUUUGUAUUUGCAGUUUGGGGGUUUAAACCUGACAUAUUCACCUCGUUAUACAGGAGUUUCUCAGGCUGAGGUGAGACCACCGCUGGAGAUAAGUGGCACCACUUCCCUUACUGCCGUCCACAAAAAUGUUCAUUAGGGCUCUAAAUUACACACGAGAUGCAAAUGAAGUGCAGCAGAAGCUUUACAUGCAGGAUAAUCACUGUGCUUUAUACCGGUUAAGGCUUAUUACGCUGCUGCCUGUUUAGCAAACUGCUGAUUUAGUGUGAUUACAUGCAGCAGGCAGGUGGAGUUUCAUUUGAUUCAUGAGGACAAGAGGUAAAUCUCAAAUCCACUUUAGUAAGAACCGAGCCGCUUAAACUCCGCUCUUUAUGUAACUCCUCCUGGUGGUGUAAACAGAGAUGCCUCCAAGCCCAUUUUUUAACAAAAACAAUACAUCUUCUGCAGAAAAUUGCUGAGUUGCCACAUGAAAAAUGAAAGAGGGAGUGUCCGUCUGUGUGCCUGCGUCUACAUAAACCUCUCAUCUCGAAACCUCGAGUGCCACGAUGACUCUUAAUCUGUCAGUCGGCAGCCUGGAGCGAAUGACUUGCAGGAGAAAUAUCUUCGAGUUACAGCCGAAAUGUAAUAUUUCACCAGCGGUACAAUACACUCAACAAGAUGUCUGACACGGCUUGAUACAGAGAUGACGUAAAUGAGGGGCGCAAAAAUCAUAAUAAGACGCCCACAUGCCAAAACAGACUCCCACUGCAGCUGUAAAUCACUCCUACUUUUAAUCAAACUAAGAAAAAUGAGCCUCAAACGCCAAAGACUGCACAUUAAACUCAUGGAGCGAGUUACGGUAUACAGAGCGGCGUUUAAAAAGUCAUUUCUUAUUACAUUAAACAUUAAACCAAAGCUGUUGUUUGAAAUCGGCCCCAUCCCAUUUCUCUGUGGUCGAGGCUUUGUGAGGGAUAAAAGCAGAGUCUGAACAUGGAUGGGGGAUAAUGGAGCAGUUGGCUGACAGUGGAGAAAUGCAUCAUAAAACACAUCAGAUCCAAACCCCUCCUCUCCAACUCAAAUAAGGCCCCGGGUUUAACGGCACGGUUGCACUUGCCACAACAUUUCAGUCUCCUUAUAGCUUACAUUCACACAAAUCUCAUUAGGACUGGACUCUUCGGGGUCUCAGAGGAAAAUGGAUCCAGUGGAUGUGAAAAUAUUACCUUUAGGAGGGAAAUAGACCAUGAAGGACUGACUAGGGAGCAGCUUUUACUUUUAUCAGACCUCCUCCACCCGUCUGAUGGUGUUCUCGGACGUCAUGAGGAGGAGGCGGCGGCGGCAGCCCUGUGUUCUGCUGCCUGUUAAAUCCGCCCACGGGUCAGUCAGGAUGGACUGGUGGGACAGUGGUUAGGACUUGAUCUCCGUCCAGCUCGACACAGCUGAGCAGACCCGCUGCCAAGAACAAUUUCUCAGUCAGAGUUUGAACCCUCAUAUCCUGUGCAAAAAAUGGGCCGCAGUGAACUCUAAAUCGGAGCAGGAUGAAGUCGAGCAGCGGUUUGUCUAGACGAGACACAGAGGAAUAUCUGCAGAAAACUCAGGGCGUCUUUAAGUUUCUCUACCUGAGAGUUUCUCAGUGUUUGACCGAUGUUCACAGAUUCUUAAUUUCACUGGCAGGUGGAUCUGGAACCGCAGUGAUUCGGUGUCAGAUACACCGGACCAAUCACAGUCCUUUAUUCUUUGAGAUAACAUGAGACGAUAUGGCAGCUUCUGCAGUUUAAGGUAAGUUACUCCCUGACCUGUCAACUGGAGAGAUGUAACUAGGUGUAAUAGGGCUAGGCGAUAAACCGAACAUUUACCAAUACUGAAAUUUACAACAAUAACCAAUGUCAUUUUGCCCAUAUUAGGAUAUUCUGUGUCAAAAAAAUAAAUAAAUCAAAGUUGGUUUUUGGAGCGGCUGAAGUAGACGAAGUUAUUGUGGGAGGGGGUGAGCAGCUUGUGGAGUAGUUAUCGUCUAUUUAUCGUUAUCGAGGUGAACUGAUCAAUAUAUCGUGAUAU